rnacentral:rRNA from 1 species
UACGAAGGGGGCUAGCGUUGCUCGGAAUCACUGGGCGUAAAGCGCACGUAGGCGGAUUGCUAAGUCAGGGGUGAAAUCCUGGAGCUCAACUCCAGAACUGCCUUUGAUACUGGCGAUCUUGAGUCCGGGAGAGGUGAGUGGAAUUCCCAGUGUAGAGGUGAAAUUCGUAGAUAUUGGGAAGAACACCGGUGGCGAAGGCGGCUCUCUGGACCGAUACUGACGCGUGAGGCGCGAAAGCGUGGGGAGCAACAGG